rnacentral:rRNA from 1 species
UACGAAGGGGACUAGCGUUGUUCGGAAUUACUGGGCGUAAAGCGCACGUAGGCGGAUUUGUUAGUCAGGGGUGAAAUCCCGGGGCUCAACCUCGGAACUGCCUUUGAUACUGCAAAUCUCGAGUCCGGUAGAGGAGUGUGGAAUUCCCGGUGUAGCGGUGAAAUGCGCAGAUAUCGGGAGGAACACCCGUAGCGAAGGCGGCACUCUGGGCCGGAACUGACGCUGAGGAGCGAAAGCGUGGGGAGCAAACAGG